AAGCUCCAACUGGACUCCGAAACUCCAAGGCCACACUUCGCUUCUGUGUCUCAUCGUGCUCAACCCCAGUGCCCGAUCUAGGGUUUCAGCCGCCGCCUCCUUUCCCCAGGGCGCCGCCGCCUCCUUCCCCAGGGCGUCGCCGCCUCCAACCUCAUCUACGUCGUCGCUGCCUCCAACCUCAACAUCGUCGCUGCGGCUUCCUUUCCCCACGGCCGCGACCGCCUCCAACCUCAUCUACGUCGUCCCCGCCUCCGUCCUCCACUCCGUUGCUGCGGUUUCCUUUCCCCACGGCUGCCGCCCCAUCCCUUCCCACAGCUGCCGUAGCGCCCAUCAUUUUCUGCCCCCCGCCGCCCCUGCUGUACCCCAUUGCGAACCAGGCGACCAUGCGCGUUGUUGUCGCCGUACCACACCCAUAGAUCUGCAGCAACGGCGAGUGAUGCCGUCGAGUCAGGAACCUGAGACGCCAACCCCCCAUCCAGGCUCGUCGUCAACACGUCGACGAAGCUGAGCUCACCGUCGCCCUGCUGCCCAGACUACGCUUCCUCCUCCCAGUGGACCUCGUCAUCUUCCACCACCACCAGCACCUCCAAAACUUCCUCCGCCGGCUAGCAGCUCGAGGUGGAACAGAAGUCCAUGGCUAAGGCGGCUUCACCGCCACAAGUGGAUUGAACUUCAGUGCGUUUCCUUGGAAGUAUUGAAGGUUAACAACACAAGUCACUGAUUGAUGCUUGCUGAUGAUUUGGUUCAAUAUCAUUGAAGUUCUCAUGCAUUUGGUUCCCAGCCUGAUCUUAGCUUGUACUUUUGGUUCUGGGAUCAACAGUAAUAGCUUGUGGAGUUGUUGAGUCUGAUGUGAACUUGUACUUUUGGUUCUGGGAUCAACAGUACUUGCAUGUAUGCUUUCCAGGAACAUUAUGUAUGUGACUUUUGGAUGAUAAACCAUAUUAAUUAAUGAAGUUCUGAGAUUGUCAAUGA